GACAGAGGGUGCAAACGUUGUUCGGAAUUACUGGGCGUAAAGCGCGUGUAGGCGGCCUUGCAAGUCGGAUGUGAAAGCCCUGGGCUCAACCCAGGAAGUGCACUCGAAACUGCAAGGCUUGAGUUCCGGAGAGGAAAGCGGAAUUCUCGGUGUAGAGGUGAAAUUCGUAGAUAUCGAGAGGAACACCGGUGGCGAAGGCGGCUUUCUGGACGGCGACUGACGCUGAGACGCGAAAGCGUGGGGAGCAAACAGG
rnacentral:rRNA from 1 species